AGACGAACGCUGGCGGCGUGCCUAAUACAUGCAAGUCGAGCGGACAGAAGGGAGCUUGCUCCCGGAUGUUAGCGGCGGACGAGUGAGUAACACGUGGGUAACCUGCCUGUAAGACUGGGAUAACUCCGGGAAACCGGAGCUAAUACCGGAUAGUUCCUUGAACCGCAUGGUUCAAGGAUGAAAGACGGUUUCGGCUGUCACUUACAGAUGGACCCGCGGCGCAUUAGCUAGUUGGUGGGGUAAUGGCUCACCAAGGCGACGAUGCGUAGCCGACCUGAGAGGGUGAUCGGCCACACUGGGACUGAGACACGGCCCAGACUCCUACGGGAGGCAGCAGUAGGGAAUCUUCCGCAAUGGACGAAAGUCUGACGGAGCAACGCCGCGUGAGUGAUGAAGGUUUUCGGAUCGUAAAGCUCUGUUGUUAGGGAAGAACAAGUGCGAGAGUAACUGCUCGCACCUUGACGGUACCUAACCAGAAAGCCACGGCUAACUACGUGCCAGCAGCCGCGGUAAUACGUAGGUGGCAAGCGUUGUCCGGAAUUAUUGGGCGUAAAGGGCUCGCAGGCGGUUUCUUAAGUCUGAUGUGAAAGCCCCCGGCUCAACCGGGGAGGGUCAUUGGAAACUGGGAAACUUGAGUGCAGAAGAGGAGAGUGGAAUUCCACGUGUAGCGGUGAAAUGCGUAGAGAUGUGGAGGAACACCAGUGGCGAAGGCGACUCUCUGGUCUGUAACUGACGCUGAGGAGCGAAAGCGUGGGGAGCGAACAGGAUUAGAUACCCUGGUAGUCCACGCCGUAAACGAUGAGUGCUAAGUGUUAGGGGGUUUCCGCCCCUUAGUGCUGCUAGCUAAACA
rnacentral:rRNA from 1 species